CUCUUUUUGAUUUGAUUUGAUUCUCUGCUUGGUCGCUGUUGGUGUAUAGAAGAGCUACUGAUUUGUGUACAUUAAUCUCAUAUCUAGAAACACUGCUAAAUUAUUUUAUCAGUUCUAGGAGCUUUCUGGAGGAGUCCUUAGGGUUUUGAAGGUAAACAAUCAUUUCAUCAGCAAACAGAAGGCCCACCAACGCUGGCCGGCCUCCAAGCACCCGGGCCUCUGCUCAUGUACAGCUCCUGAACUGCCCUGCCUCUGAGUUACUGUGGAAAAUGAGCUUAUAUAUGAAGAAGUCAGCGAGUGGACAAAGCCAGGCGCAAUGGAUAGCAAAGAUGUGGAAGUCUCCUCGAUUCAAGUUACAAGAAAACCGCAGCAUGGAGUCUGCUCUCAGCUGUUGGGGAAUUACCGAUGCCUUUGACUAAGUCAAGACUGACUUUUCCAGAAUAUCACCCAAGAGAUAGAGCCGUCCCUGUCCAAGUUUGUGCGCUAGCCCUUCAUGGAGGUCAGAGAGGAAGAAACAAAGGCAGCUGUGGCCUCGGCGGUCACAGUGUCAGAACGCACAAGCCCCAUAAAGAGGUUUCACGCAGGCCACCCAUCCCUUUUCAUUCUCCAGCAGAACAGGACAGAGAGCGUUCUGUUCUGCGGAAGGUCUUCCACUCUACAAGGCAAUCCCUCCAGCUGCUUUGCUGUAUUGUGCUGUCUCCUGUCACACUAUGAAUGCAGUGACCUCAGCCAGCAACAGGGAGAACCCCCCUGCCUCCCGAACAAAGGACCUCACGUGAAAUCCUGAGCUCAGAGCUUACAGAUAUGUGUGCGCUUUCACUUUACAUCGGCCGUGACUUCCAAACAACUUCAGGAAACUUUAGGAUCUCUGAGGUAUACUGGAGAUGACAGCAGCGUAGAAUGUUCAUUUGGAUUUAGAACAGAAAUGCUUAUUUUAUAUUUGGCUGCUCCCAAACUGUCCCCAGACUUCCUCUCCAGUGGUUACCCUCCACUGCCCUGGAUGUCCCACGUUUACACUCCACACUCACACCUCCACCUUAACAAAGUCCUCCACUGGGUCAAACCAUACAUCGCUUCGUCUCUGUAGUGAUGACUUCCUGUCCUCUGCUCUGUGGAUAAAGACCCCAGAUAAAGAUGCCUGUGUUGCUCAACUCUUGUAAAUACUCUUGAGACAUUUUGAAAGCAGAAGGAAAGGAGACAGACGGGGAAAAUAAAAGGGAUGGUCUGCUUGUGCGGAAACGUUUUGAGAAUGCCCUUCCCUAAGAGAGAACAGUAAAAGUGAGCAAUACUUCCUGAGCUGUGGGUUCAUAUGGCUGGACUGUGCUGUUUCUCACGGGAGAAGUUCUCGUCUCCCCUGCGUGUACAUCCCUGUUUGCCAGCCUGGCCUUCGGUGUGGUGAUAUCAUGGUGCACUCCCAGGAGGGAAGUGCUUGGUCAAGACUUCUGCUUGGGUUCGACUAUCAGUUCUGGUUUCCUUUAAGGCACAGGAUCUUCCCUUUAAGGCACAAACACCCCCUUGACACAAAGUAAGGGACAAGGGAACUUUAAACCAUUUGGAAACCCAAGCACAAUAGGCUGUAGGUUGUAAAAAGAAAUUACAAAGGUAAUUUUAUCCAGAAGAGGGAGCAGUUUAACUUCUGCAGGGUGGUGCCUUUAGGAGGUGACUGGAUUAUGAGGGCACCUUCCUCAUGAAUGGGAUUGGCCCCUUAUACGAGAGACUUCACAUGAGAUUUGGCCCCUUUUGCCCUUCCACUUUCCACCAUUGAGGACGCAGCAGCAAGCUGUCAU
rnacentral:lncRNA from 1 species